rnacentral:tRNA from 1 species
AAAUAAGAAACAAUUAAUUGUAUUUAGUUUCGACCUAAGCCUUAGAUCAUAAAUCCUUAUUUA